GACGAACGCUGGCGGCGUGCUUAACACAUGCAAGUCGUACGGUAAGGCCCUUUCGGGGGUACCCGAGUGGCGAACGGGGGGGUAACACGUGAGUAACCUGCCCACAACUUUGGGAUAACGCUAGGAAACUGGGGCUAAUACUGGAUAUGUGCUCCUGCUGCAUGGUGGGGGUUGGAAAGCUCCGGCGGUUGCGGAUGGACUCGCGGCCCAUCAGCUUGUGGGUGGGGUAGCGGCCUACCAAGGCGGAGGCGGGUAGCCGGACUGGGAGGGUGACCGUGAACAGUGGGACUGAGAUACGGCCCAGACUCCGACGCGUGGCAGAAGCAGGGGAGGUUGAUAAAGGGGCGCGAGCCUGAUGCAGAAACGGCGCGGGCGGGAGGACGGUGUUCGGGUUGGAGUCCGAUUUCAGCAGUGACGGAGCUGUUUGUGACGGUACCUGCAGAAGAAGCACCGGCUAACUACGUG
rnacentral:rRNA from 1 species